rnacentral:rRNA from 1 species
GGUUAAGCGACUAAGCGUACACGGUGGAUGCCCUGGCAGUCAGAGGCGAUGAAGGACGUGCUAAUCUGCGAAAAGCGUCGGUAAGGUGAUAUGAACCGUUAUAGCCGGCGAUGUCCGAAUGGGGAAACCCAGUGCAAUUCGUUGCACUAUCGUUAACUGAAUACAUAGGUUAACGAGGCGAACCGGGGGAACUGAAACAUCUAAGUACCCCGAGGAAAAGAAAUCAACCGAGAUUCCCCCAGUAGCGGCGAGCGAACGGGGAGCAGCCCAGAGUCUGAAUCAGCUUGUGUGUUAGUGGAACGGUCUGGAAAGUCCGACGGUACAGGGUGAUAGUCCCGUACACCAAAAUGCACAGGCUGUGAACUCGAAGAGUAGGGCGGGACACGUGGUAUCCUGUCUGAAUAUGGGGGGACCAUCCUCCAAGGCUAAAUACUCCUGACUGACCGAUAGUGAACCAGUACCGUGAGGGAAAGGCGAAAAGAACCCCGGCGAGGGGAGUGAAAAAGAACCUGAAACCGUGUACGUACAAGCAGUGGGAGCACCUUCGGGUGUGACUGCGUACCUUUUGUAUAAUGGGUCAGCGACUUAUAUUCUGUAGCAAGGUUAACCGUAUAGGGGAGCCGCAGGGAAACCGAGUCUUAACUGGGCGUUAAGUUGCAGGGUAUAGACCCGAAACCCGGUGAUCUAGCCAUGGGCAGGUUGAAGGUUGGGUAACACUAACUGGAGGACCGAACCGACUAAUGUUGAAAAAUUAGCGGAUGACUUGUGGCUGGGGGUGAAAGGCCAAUCAAACCGGGAGAUAGCUGGUUCUCCCCGAAAGCUAUUUAGGUAGCGCCUCGUGAACUCAUCUUCGGGGGUAGAGCACUGUUUCGGCUAGGGGGUCAUCCCGACUUACCAACCCGAUGCAAACUACGAAUACCGAAGAAUGUUAUCACGGGAGACACACGGCGGGUGCUAACGUCCGUCGUGAAGAGGGAAACAACCCAGACCGCCAGCUAAGGUCCCAAAGUCAUGGUUAAGUGGGAAACGAUGUGGGAAGGCACAGACAGCCAGGAUGUUGGCUUAGAAGCAGCCAUCAUUUAAAGAAAGCGUAAUAGCUCACUGGUCGAGUCGGCCUGCGCGGAAGAUGUAACGGGGCUAAACCAUGCACCGAAGCUGCGGCAGCGACACUAUGUGUUGUUGGGUAGGGGAGCGUUCUGUAAGCCUGCGAAGGUGACCUGUGAGGGUUGCUGGAGGUAUCAGAAGUGCGAAUGCUGACAUAAGUAACGAUAAAGCGGGUGAAAAGCCCGCUCGCCGGAAGACCAAGGGUUCCUGUCCAACGUUAAUCGGGGCAGGGUGAGUCGACCCCUAAGGCGAGGCCGAAAGGCGUAGUCGAUGGGAAACAGGUUAAUAUUCCUGUACUUGGUGUUACUGCGAAGGGGGGACGGAGAAGGCUAUGUUAGCCGGGCGACGGUUGUCCCGGUUUAAGCAUGUAGGCUGGUUGUCCAGGCAAAUCCGGAUAAUCAAGGCUGAGGUGUGAUGACGAGGCACUACGGUGCUGAAGUAACAAAUGCCCUGCUUCCAGGAAAAGCCUCUAAGCAUCAGGUAACAUUAAAUCGUACCCCAAACCGACACAGGUGGUCAGGUAGAGAAUACCAAGGCGCUUGAGAGAACUCGGGUGAAGGAACUAGGCAAAAUGGUGCCGUAACUUCGGGAGAAGGCACGCUGGUGUGUAGGUGAAGUCCCUGCGGAUGGAGCUGAGACCAGUCGAAGAUACCAGCUGGCUGCAACUGUUUAUUAAAAACACAGCACUGUGCAAACACGAAAGUGGACGUAUACGGUGUGACGCCUGCCCGGUGCCGGAAGGUUAAUUGAUGGGGUUAUCCGUAAGGAGAAGCUCUUGAUCGAAGCCCCGGUAAACGGCGGCCGUAACUAUAACGGUCCUAAGGUAGCGAAAUUCCUUGUCGGGUAAGUUCCGACCUGCACGAAUGGCGUAAUGAUGGCCAGGCUGUCUCCACCCGAGACUCAGUGAAAUUGAACUCGCUGUGAAGAUGCAGUGUACCCGCGGCAAGACGGAAAGACCCCGUGAACCUUUACUAUAGCUUGACACUGAACAUUGAGCCUUGAUGUGUAGGAUAGGUGGGAGGCUUUGAAGCGUGGACGCCAGUCUGCGUGGAGCCAACCUUGAAAUACCACCCUUUAAUGUUUGAUGUUCUAACGUUGGCCCCUUACCGGGGUUGCGGACAGUGUCUGGUGGGUAGUUUGACUGGGGCGGUCUCCUCCCAAAGCGUAACGGAGGAGCACGAAGGUUAGCUAAUCCUGGUCGGACAUCAGGAGGUUAGUGCAAUGGCAUAAGCUAGCUUGACUGCGAGCGUGACGGCGCGAGCAGGUGCGAAAGCAGGUCAUAGUGAUCCGGUGGUUCUGAAUGGAAGGGCCAUCGCUCAACGGAUAAAAGGUACUCCGGGGAUAACAGGCUGAUACCGCCCAAGAGUUCAUAUCGACGGCGGUGUUUGGCACCUCGAUGUCGGCUCAUCACAUCCUGGGGCUGAAGUAGGUCCCAAGGGUAUGGCUGUUCGCCAUUUAAAGUGGUACGCGAGCUGGGUUUAGAACGUCGUGAGACAGUUCGGUCCCUAUCUGCCGUGGGCGCUGGAGAAUUGAGGGGGGCUGCUCCUAGUACGAGAGGACCGGAGUGGACGCAUCACUGGUGUUCGGGUUGUCAUGCCAAUGGCACUGCCCGGUAGCUAAAUGCGGAAGAGAUAAGUGCUGAAAGCAUCUAAGCACGAAACUUGCCCCGAGAUGAGUUCUCCCUGAGACUUUAAGUCUCCUGAAGGAACGUUAAAGACGAUGACGUUGAUAGGCCGGGUGUGUAAGCGCAGCGAUGCGUUGAGCUAACCGGUACUAAUGAACCGUGAGGCUUAACCUU